AUGAAGAAAGCUCCAGGUUUCUUGCAUUUUUUAAAGGCAGAUGAAACAAUCAGCCAAUCCCUUUGUCUUUUACAGUUUGGGUGUGCACCUGGCUUGCAGCAGAACUGGCUGGGAUGGCUUCAUAACUUCCCUUCCAACAAUAUAACAAUAUGCUUCUGUAAAUUUUCACACCGAAUUGGACAAGAAUCAGAAUAUCCUGUUUUGAACAUCUGCACAGAUUGACAAACAAAAAUGGAACAUCAAGACUGACUGGAAAUGGUGACGUGAAAUUCAUUAAAUGCUCUUGAGGUGACAUAUAUACAUACAGCAUCAUUGUUUUCUGGAAAAUGGGCUACAGGAGAAUCUUAAAGAAGCAGUGAAUUGGCCGGGCAUGGUG